rnacentral:rRNA from 1 species
CCUACGGGAGGCAGCAGUGGGGAAUAUUGCACAAUGGGCGCAAGCCUGAUGCAGCCAUGCCGCGUGUGUGAAGAAGGCCUUCGGGUUGUAAAGCACUUUCAGCGGGGAGGAAGGCGGUGAGGUUAAUAACCUCAUCGAUUGACGUUACCCGCAGAAGAAGCACCGGCUAACUCCGUGCCAGCAGCCGCGGUAAUACGGAGGGUGCAAGCGUUAAUCGGAAUUACUGGGCGUAAAGCGCACGCAGGCGGUCUGUCAAGUCGGAUGUGAAAUCCCCGGGCUCAACCUGGGAACUGCAUUCGAAACUGGCAGGCUAGAGUCUUGUGGAGGGGGGUAGAAUUCCAGGUGUAGCGGUGAAAUGCGUAGAGAUCUGGAGGAAUACCGGUGGCGAAGGCGGCCCCCUGGACAAAGACUGACGCUCAGGUGCGAAAGCGUGGGGAGCAAACAGGAUUAGAUACCCGUGUAGUC